UUUAUGGAGAGUUUGAUCCUGGCUCAGGAUGAACGCUGGCGGCGUGCCUAAUACAUGCAAGUCGAGCGAACAGAUAAGGAGCUUGCUCCUUUGACGUUAGCGGCGGACGGGUGAGUAACACGUGGGUAA
rnacentral:rRNA from 1 species